CGGGUACAACGAGUCGCAAGCUCGCGAAAGUAAGCUAAUCUCGUAAAGCCGUUCUCAGUUCGGACUGUAGGCUGCAACUCGCCUACACGAAGUCGGAAUCGCUAGUAAUCGCGGAUCAGCAUGCCGCGGUGAAUACGUUCCCGGGCCUUGUACACACCGCCCGUCACACCAUGGGAGUUUGUAACGCCCAAAGUCGGUGGCCUAACCUUUAUGGAGGGAGCCGCCUAAGGCGGGACAGAUGACUGGGGUGAAGUCGUAACAAGGUACC
rnacentral:rRNA from 1 species